GAUGAACGCUGGCGGCGUGCCUAAUACAUGCAAGUCGAGCGAACGGACGAGAAGGUUGCUUCUCUGAUGUUAGCGGCGGACGGGUGAGUAACACGUGGAUAACCUACCUAUAAGACUGGGAUAACUACGGGAAACCAGUGCUAAAAACGGAUGAUAUUUUGAUCCGCUUGUUUCAAAAGCGAAUGCCGAUCUUGCUGUCUCUAUUUGAUGGACUCGCGCUGCAUUAGCUAGUUGGUAAGGUAACGGCUUACCAAGGGAACGAUGCAUAGCCGACCUGAGAGGAUGAUCGGCAACACGUGAACGGGGACACGCACCAAACACCUAAGGGAGGCAGCAGUAGGGAAUCUUCCGCAAGGGGCGGAAGCCUGACGGAGCAACGCCGCGUGAGUGAUGAGGAUCUUCGGAUCGUGAAACUCUGUUAUUAGGGAAGAACAUAUGUGUAAGUAACUGUGCACAUCUUGACGGUACCUAAUCAGAAAGCAACGGCUAACUACGUG
rnacentral:rRNA from 1 species